AUGUUACUCUGAGGAGUUUGGCGUCGUGAUUUUUAAUCAACAGUAUUCCCCAGUAGUGCGAUAUUGGAGGAAGGAUUUCUGUCGGGUGGAGAUGGAAAUGAUAAUCAAAAAAAAAAAAAAGAAAAAAAAGUUUUGGGGUUCAAGAAAAGCAAAAAAGAGAGAAAGAGAUAAUCCCCAGCUGAGCGCAAAUUGUUCGUUUGCUAGGGUUGAAUAGAAGAUGGC
rnacentral:lncRNA from 1 species